AGUGAACGCUGGCGGUAGGCCUAACACAUGCAAGUCGAACGGCAGCACAGUAAGAGCUUGCUCUUACGGGUGGCGAGUGGCGGACGGGUGAGGAAUACAUCGGAAUCUACUUUUUCGUGGGGGAUAACGUAGGGAAACUUACGCUCAUACCGCAUACGACCUACGGGGGAAAGCAGGGGAUCUUCGGACCUUGCGCGAUUGAAUGAGCCGAUGUCGGAUUAGCUAGUGGGCGGGGUAAAGGCCCACCAAGGCGACGAUCCGUAGCUGGUCUGAGAGGAUGGUCAGCCACACUGGAACUGAGACACGGUCCAGACUCCUAAGGGAGGCAGCAGUGGGGAAUAUUGGACAAUGGGCGCAAGCCUGAUCCAGCCAUACCGCGUGGGUGAAGAAGGCCUUCGGGUUGUAAAGCCCUUUUGUUGGGAAAGAAAAGCAGCAGGUUAAUACCACGCUGUUCUGACGGUACCCAAAGAAUAAGCACCGGCUAACUUCGUG
rnacentral:rRNA from 1 species